UACGGAAGGCAGCAGUGGGGAAUAUUGCACAAUGGGCGAAAGCCUGAUGCAGCUAUGCCGCGUGUAUGAAGAAGGCCUUAGGGUUGUAAAGUACUUUCAUCGGGGAGGAAAAACAAAACUAAUAAUUUUAUUUCUUGACGUUACCCGAAAAAGAAGCACCGGCUAACUCCGUGCCAGCAGCCGCGGUAAUACGGGGGUGCUAGCGUUAAUCAGAAUUACUGGGCGUAAAGAGCACGUAGGUGGUUUUUUUAAGUCAGAUGUGAAAUCCCUGGGCUUAACCUAGGAACUGCGUUUUGAAACUGAAAUACUAGAGUAUCGUAGAGGGAGGUAGAAUUCUAGGUGUAGCGGUGAAAUGCGUAGAUAUCUGGAGGAAUACCUGUGGCGAAAGCGGCCUCCUAAACGAAUACUGACACUGAGGUGCGAAAGCGUGGGGAGCAAACAGGGAUUAGAUACC
rnacentral:rRNA from 1 species